UAUGUAUGAUAGGUGCAAUCGUCUUUUCAAAUUCUAUGUUACUGAGUUCAGAUGUAUGUAGGUCUGAGUGCAAUUUUUCUUUAGUUCUCUGUGAGCUUAAAAAUGCAACUGAUGUGGCCCAUGCAACUGAGAUUAAAAACAUGGAGAACAAUCAUAAAAGAUCUCGCUGAAAAUGCCCUCGUUCCGCACUUCGUGUGGACAGGCAGCGCCCUUUACCUUCGGAGUCUCGAAAAAUGGUCUGGGUGAUGCGGGUGCCUCAAUGCUUGAUGCCAUGUUCUGUAAGAGGCCAAGGUUGUAUUUGGGUGUCCACGCGCUACAGGGAAUUACUGUGCGGAGUAGUAAGAAUUGAUUUAAACGUAGAGCCUAGACUCGCACUCCAUGAGCAUCCAUGGCCGGCGAGACAGGACCCUCGACCCUCGGCCUCUGUUGAGAAGGAUCGUUCCACUGUGUCUGAUUUGUAGUACAGAGCAAUCUCAUUCCUCUGAAGUUCCUAUUGGGCAAAAUGGGCAAGAUAUGUUUGGUAAGUGGUGCUUUGUUUUUUAGGCUAUGGCUAUGAUAACUUGAUGACACCCCUUUGUAGUACGGAGCAAUCUCAUGCAUUUGUCCUCCAUCUUCAGGAACAUUUAUUAGUGUACAAUGGCCAAGCAAUUGUUUAAAAAAAUAAGAAACCUGGAAUUGAAUUGCUAAAACAUGGAAUUAUUCUGCUUAUUUGUAGGUUAAUGUAUGACUAUCACGUUCCCCACCAAGUGAAAUGUGCUAUUUCACCACAAACAUUGACGAAGUUAAGUUCAGUGCAGGCAAAAUGGAUAAGUCUGUAACUGGAACUCUGGAUAGUUGAUACUCUGAAUGGCAAAAAAUUUAUCAAAGUUGCUGAGGUUCAGGGGUCUGAAAUUAAGCCAUUUGUGGACAGUUUAUCUAAAUGCCCCAAACCCACUUAGAGCUCCAGAGAGGUCUUGUUUUCUUGUACUAUGGAUUUAAGGUGAUUCUCAAGAGGAAUAAGUCGCCAUGGACCGAUGAGAUCGAGAGACGGCUCCGCGGUUGCGUGGAGUGGUGGCUGAGAGGAGAGGCAACAACAACUCAUUGUCCGUGACGGCCCGAGCGUUUGCGAGAGGGGAUGGAGCGGGGGUUGCAUCGUCACGGCCAGUUGCCAGAGUGGAUGGAGUGGUGGCCGCACGGACGCGCUCCUGGAGGUGCCGGUAUGCACCCUGAUUUUGAGCCUGGGAGGUUCCUUGCUCUGCCCUAUCCUCAAGGGUGUUCAUCUACUUUGGUAUCGUGCUCUGGAGUCAGGACGAUGCACUAAUGCAGCAAUGAGCACAAGUCUGCAACCUUGAAGGAAAACCCGUUGCAACUGAUGACAUAAUAUUACGUCGCAACAAGAAUGUAUAGAGCUGCAGAGCUCUGUGGAUCCUUCUCUUCACAAAAGGAAACAAGAGGUAAUGUAAACAAUAGAUUCUCUUGUGAAAUUGCGACUCAGCCUUGGGGUGUGGAUGGCGAGAAGCGGAGGCGUGUGCCUAGAGUAGCGGACCAUGAUGGAUUGAUGAGCUGAUGUCACGUGACGUACUCACGUGGCGGCUGGUUAGGCUCCGGCGGCUGGAGCCAUCAUCGACCAUGAUGCCGCGCUAGGAGCACAAGUGCUAAGACGAGGACAUGUUGGUGCCGAUGAAAUAAGGUGCUGCCGGUUGAUGGGGGCCUAACCAUGAGUCUAACUGAAAGUGAACGGGAGCGAUGUGCAGAAAAAAUCUUAGCACAUAGGCUGAAUUUGUAUAGUACUUCGAAUUUAUUAGGCAGUCCCCCUCCAUUUGUAUAUCACUUCCAAAUACAAGUUCAGGUUAUUAGGCAGUACUAUUGAAUUUAAGGAUUGAUACUUGAAGAUUUUAAAAGGUUACUAAAUUUUGUACCAAGUCUACUGUUAUGUAUGGGAAGAACAUGCGCUAAAAUAUUGAUAAUGCAAAUGAAAGUGAUCAUUUGAUUA